rnacentral:lncRNA from 1 species
AAGAGGAGAAAUGAGAGACGAAAGGAAAGACCAUACUUUCCCAAGUUUAAAAGGGCUCAGCUUUUGAAUCUGUGAUUGGUAUAUCUUUGGCCUUAUGAGAUGAAUGAUGAGAUAAAAUGUGUGAAAAAUUAAACUUCUCUAGUGGCAAGUGUAAGUGACUCAAGAGUUAUGCUGGAGAAUGGAUCAUUGCUUCACUUCUACAGUUUAAAAAUUUGUGAAACCAACCAUGGUUACUGCAGUAUUACAUGGCUAUCAGGUUUCAAAAGUUUGAGACCCCUGCAAUGAAGGCCAUUAGAAAACAUGAAAUAUUAUUAUUACAGACAGAUGAUGGACCAUCUUGCCAACAGCUGACACUGAUCUUUCUACGUGAGCAAUGUCCUCUACAAAACAACCUAUUGCAGUUUUUGCAUUAUUUACACUUUUAACCUGAAGACUGGUCACUAAGCAAUGCAUUUGAUGUCUGCUGAUUUGAGCAUUCACUAUGUGCACUAGGUAGUGAUGGUAUUGCAAAAGAAACAGCAAUAUUUUGCAUCAUUUUAAGAAAUCAGUACUGAAAACAAUUAAGCAAA